rnacentral:rRNA from 1 species
CGUGGGUAACCUGCCUUAUAGUGGGGGAGUAGCCUUUCGAAAGGAAGAUUGAUACCGCAUAAGAUUGUAGUAUCGCAUGAUAUAGCAAUUAAAGGAGCAAUUCGCUAUAAGAUGGACCCGCGUCGCAUUAGCUAGUUGGUGAGGUAAUGGCUCACCAAGGCGACGAUGCGUAGCCGACCUGAGAGGGUGAUCGGCCACAUUGGGACUGAGACACGGCCCAGACUCCUACGGGAGGCAGCAUG